UACAGAGGUCUCAAGCGUUGUUCGGAUUCAUUGGGCGUAAAGGGUGCGUAGGCGGCGCGGUAAGUCGGGUGUGAAAUCUCGGAGCUUAACUCCGAGACUGCAUUCGAUACUGCCGUGCUUGAGGACUGGAGAGGAGACUGGAAUUUACGGUGUAGCGGUGAAAUGCGUAGAUAUCGUAAGGAAGACCAGUGGCGAAGGCAGCUCGCUGGGACGUUACUGACGCUGAGACGCGAAAGCGUGGGGAGCAAACAGG
rnacentral:rRNA from 1 species